UUUCCUAGUCUGGUUUCACUGCUACUGCGAGAACAGCCCGGGACCCCGGGGCGGGAGCAGAGUGGGCUUGUCUUCCCCUGCUUUAGUACCAGGGGAACGUGGAAACAGGAAAGCAAUGGGGCAGGAAGCUCUAUGUGCAGACAUGGCCAACGAUGGCCUGUGCCCUCGGUGCCUGGCAUAAUGAAAUGACAGCACACACUAAGGGAUCAGAAGUGAUUUUUGAAGUUAAAUCAUCAUUCCAAGCACUGAUUGAACUCCGAGUCUAUUGUACUUUCUAUUAAAAAGACAAGAUCUGCCAUGACCAGUGUGACUCAGUUGGUUGGGCGUCAUCCUGCAAAGCAGAAGUACACUAGUUUGGCAUACCUGGGCUUCAAGUUCGGUCCCCGGUAGGGGGAUGUACAAGAGAAGACAAAGAGAUGUUUCUCUCCCUCUCUU